rnacentral:rRNA from 1 species
GGAUAAAGAUGGCCUCUGAUUCAAGCUAUUGUCAUCAGAUGAGUCCGCGUCCCAUUAGCUUGUUGGUGGGGUAACGGCCUACCAAGGCAACGAUGGGUAGCUGGUCUGAGAGGAUGAUCAGCCACACUGGGACUGGAACACGGCCCAGACUCCUACGGGAGGCAGCAGUGGGGAAUAUUGGGCAAUGGGCGCAAGCCUGACCCAGCGACGCCGCGUGAGGGAAGAAGGUUUUCGGAUCGUAAACCUCUGUCAGGAGGGAAGAAAUGCUCUAUUUUGAAUAAAGAUAGGGUUUGACGGUACCUCCAGAGGAAGCACCGGCUAACUCCGUGCCAGCAGCCGCGGUAACACGGAGGGUGCAAGCGUUAUUCGGAAUUACUGGGCGUAAAGCGCGCGUAGGCGGCUUUUCAAGUCAGAUGUGAAAGCCCUCGGCUCAACCGAGGAAUUGCAUUUGAAACUGUUGAGCUAGAGUUCGGGAGAGGGUGGCGGAAUUCCCGGUGUAGGAGUGAAAUCCGUAGAUCUCGGGAGGAACACCAGAGGCGAAGGCGGNCACCUGGACCGAAACUGACGCUGAGGUGCGAAAGCGUGGGGAGCAACAGGAUUAGAUACCCUGGUAGUCCACGCCGUAAACGAUGGAUGCUAGAUGCCCGGUGUGUCUACGUUCUGUGUCGUAGUUACGCGUUAAGCAUUCCCGCUGGGGAGUACGGUCGGCAGGCCUGAACUUCCAAGAACUUGACGGGGGCCCGCACAAGCGGUGGAGUAUGUGGUUUAAUUCGAUGCAACGCGAAGAACCUUACCUGGACUUGACAUCUCCGGAACCCCCUGGAGACAGGGGGGUGCCCUUCGGGGACCCGGAAGACAGGUGCUGCAUGGCUGUCGUCAGCUCGUGCCGUGAAGUGUUGGGUUAAGUCCCGCAACGAGCGCAACCCCUGUUCAUAGUGNCCAUCAGGUGAAGCUGGGCACUCUAUGGAGACUGCCGAGGUGAACUCGGAGGAAGGUGGGGACGACGUCAAGUCAUCAUG